GGGGCUGAACGGUAUUGACAGGAAAGAAUACUGAUAAGUAAGCAUGCCGGAGAACUGAUCAUUUACUCCGUCCAAAUGAUGAUCACAACAUUAAUUGGCGAAAGAAACUUCGCUUUAGCUGCCUAAUUUAGAAUUAGCCAGACUAAAUGCACUGGAUUGAGGACGUCUGAUAGUUAAUCCAACAGUGUAUCAACCCGCUACGCUUCGCGCUGGCACUCGGACUAGAAGGAUAAGGCUUCGAUUAUUCUUCGAAUCUUAAGAAGAUAAGCCAAGAGUUGGUUGUUUGUAUACCUGCUCGCGGACGAAAAUUCAAGUACAAACUAAGCAUGUAGAAGGCCUAUGAGUGCUUUGUCUGGACCCGAGUUCGAAUCUCGGCAGCUCCACCA
rnacentral:tmRNA from 1 species